rnacentral:rRNA from 1 species
GCAGUCUGCAACUCGAGUGCAUGAAGCUGGAAUCGCUAGUAAUCGCGGAUCAGAAUGCCGCGGUGAAUACGUUCCCGGGUCUUGUACACACCGCCCGUCACACCAUGGGAGUCGGAAAUGCCCGAAGUCUGUGACCCAACCUUAGGGAGGGAGCAGCCGAAGGCAGGUCGGAUGACUGGGGUGAAGUCGUAACAAGGUACC